rnacentral:rRNA from 1 species
GACGAACGCUGGCGGCGUGCUUAACACAUGCAAGUCGAACGGGAUUUCGUAAACAGAAACCUCGGUGGAAGAUUACUAAUGAGAGUGGCGAACGGGUGAGUAACGCGUGAGCAACCUGCCUAUGACAGUGGGAUAGCCUCGGGAAACCGGGAUUAAUACCGCAUAAAAUCGUAGAAACACAUGUUUUAACGGUCAAAGAUUUAUCGGUCAUAGAUGGGCUCGCGUCUGAUUAGCUAGUUGGUGAGAUAACAGCCCACCAAGGCGACGAUCAGUAGCCGGUCUGAGAGGAUGAACGGCCACAUUGGAACUGAGACACGGUCCAAACUCCUACGGGAGGCAGCAGUGGGGAAUAUUGCACAAUGGGGGAAACCCUGAUGCAGCGACGCCGCGUGAACGAAGAAGGUAUUCGUAUCGUAAAGUUCUGUCCUAUGGGAAGAUAAUGACAGUACCAGAGAAGAAAGCUCCGGCUAAAUACGUG